GUUUCGUUUCUAGGUUCAGUCACCCCUGGGUGCAAUUUAUCUCUUCGCCCUUUCGACGCUCAAUAUUGGAUACAAUUUAUCUCUAGCUGGCUGACAUAUAUGGCAAGGCCUUGAAAAUGUCAGCGCUCAGGUCUCACUCGAAGUCAAAGAAGAGAAGAGAGUGUUACAGACAUUACCAGUAAACAAAGUUUCGAGGCUACACAGUACGAAUGUCUUGCUAAGUGUUUCAAUGGCCGCUGAAAGUGUAGGAUUGUCUUGACUUCCGCUUUCUUAGUAUUGACUGUCAGAUUAGAGCGUGCUUACUAUCGCGGUGUUAGGUCCACAUCAAUAAAUGGAUGUGGUGGUUGAAUGGCAAAGCGCUUGGCUUCUGAAACGAGGAGUCUCGUGUUUGAAUACCAGUGAAGAUAUUGCCUUACACUUUGGAUUGGUUAACACUGCUGUUAUCAAUGCGAGACACAGACAACAUAUCUACGAGACAUUCCCACCUGUCUCAGGGACAAAUAGAACGCUUAUAAGCAUUUCACUUCAAUAAACGGAGGACGGCAUUUAAGUUGAUCUAACUUUGGGCUCUAAAGACUUCAGAAGUUCACGACAUAGGAACUUAAGAAACACAAUGAGAACAAAAAGUGAAGAUGAGUCAGAGAGAAAGACAGAGGGAUGGGGAGAGAGAGAAAGACAGAGAUGGGGAGAGAGAAAGAGAGAGAUAGGGGAGAGAGACAGAGAGAAAGAGAGGGAGAUGGUGAAAGAAAUACUUAGAGAGAUGAGAGAGAGAAAGAGAAAUUAGAAGAGAGAGAGAGAUGAGAGAGAUUGGGGGAGACAUGGAGAGGAAGAGAGAGAGAGAGUUGAGGAGAGAGAAAUGGAGAGAGAGAGAUGGAGAGAGGGAGAUUGGGAAAGAGAUUAGGAGAGACAGAGAGAGACAUUGGGUAAAAGAAAAAGAGAUGGGGAGAGACGUAGAGUGAGAAAGAGAGAUGGAAAGAGACAGAAAAGAGGGUUGAUAGGGAUAGACAUAGAGAGAGAAAGAUGAACAGAGAGACAGAGAUUGGGAGAGAGAAAGAAAACUGGGGAGAGCGAGGUGAAAAGAGAGAAAUGGGGAGAGAGAGACAUAGAGAGCUGGGAAGAGAGAGAGACUAAGACUACCGUGAAGUUAAAAGACAAAUGCUGUUCCAAUCACUGAUGUGUUUCUUGUUCCUUCCUUUCAGCCUGGUCUCUCCGACUUGUUGUGGAAUUUCCCAUGGACUGAAUCAAGGAAGAAAUAGAUCUAAAAAUAUCUCACCGAGUUCAGUUAGACAAGGGAGAAUACCAGCACCCAGUUCUUUGUGCCAUUAUCAAAGUUUUCCAGAUGCAAACAUCUUUGUCGCCUUUGGUUCAUUCAAUCCUCGAAACGAUGUAUUUGUUACUUUUAUUUAAUAAUAAGUCAUUGUCUUUGACCGGACAGCAUGGAGACAGAUUGUACGUGACGGUACCAACUUCGCCGAAUGCAAAAGAAACGAAGCUGCGUCAGCCAAGAGAAAGAAAAAGAAAGCUGCCCUGUCAGCUAGCUCUAGUACAGAUGCAUAUAACAGCACGAACUGUGGCAGACUCUGCCGCUCCAGAAUUGGCUUGAUCAGUCACUCCAGAUUCUGUCCUAUCUCUAGACGUAACCAACGUCAGUGACUUUCUUGGAUUCUUUCAGUAUUUCCAUGUCCACUCAAACCGUGCAAUACACUCGUUCUGUUGACCAGAUUUUUUUGUUGUUAUGAAAUUUAUGGACAAUUUUUAUCUCUCUCUCUCUCUCUUAGUUUUUUCUCUGACUUUCUGUCUCUCUCUGUGCCUCACAUUUUUGCCUCUCUCUGUUUCUCUUUCUGUCUUGCUUUCUUUCUCUCUGUGUCUCAUUGUCUAACUUACCGUUAUUUUUAACAGCAGCGUUGUGUUAUAAGACGUAAUGAUCUAAAGCCUUCUGACUUCACAGUUGAAGUGCUAUCAUCCUGGUACCAAAUUAUUCUAUAAAACAGAAGUCCGGGUCAUCGAGUUUUCCAACAACAGACUACAUGCAAUUUAGUUCCUGUUUCCAUCUAACUUUUCAUGUAUUGUCUUAUAGGCGAUUUUUUUUUUAUAAUCCGGA